rnacentral:rRNA from 1 species
CAAGCGGUGGAGCAUGUGGUUUAAUCGAAGCAACGCGAAGAACCCUUUACCAGGUCUUGACAUCCCGAUGCUAUUCUAGAGAUAGAAAGUUACUUCGGUACAUCGGUGACAGGUGGUGCAUGGUUGUCGUCAGCUCGUGUCGUGAGAUGUUGGGUUAAGUCCCCGCAACGAGCGCAACCCCUAUUGUUAGUUGCCAUCAUUCAGUUGGGCACUCUGGCGAGACUGCCGGUAAUAAACCGGAGGAAGGUGGGGAUGACGUCAAAUCAUCAUGCCCCUUAUGCCCUGGGCUACACACGUGCUACAAUGGUUGGUACAACGAGUUGCGAGUCGGUGACGGCGAGCUAAUCUCUUAAAGCCAAUCUCAGUUCGGAUUGUAGGCUGCAACUCGCCUACAUGAAGUCGGAAUCGCUAGUAAUCGCGGAUCAGCACGCCGCGGUGAAUACGUUCCCGGGCCUU